rnacentral:rRNA from 1 species
UAGAGUUUGAUCAUGGCUCAGAUUGAACGCUGGCGGCAGGCCUAACACAUGCAAGUCGAGCGGUAGCGGGAAGAGCUUGCUCUUUGCCGACGAGCGGCGGACGGGUGCGUAACACGUAGGAAUCUGCCCGGUAGUGGGGGAUAGCCCGGAGAAAUCCGGAUUAAUACCGCAUACGCCCUAAGGGGGAAAGCAGGGGAUCUUCGGACCUUGCGCUAUCAGAUGAGCCUGCGUCGGAUUAGCUGGUUGGUGGGGUAAAGGCCUACCAAGGCGACGAUCCGUAGCUGGUCUGAGAGGAUGAUCAGCCACACUGGGACUGAGACACGGCCCAGACUCCUACGGGAGG